GCGAAUUCGCCCUUAUUAGAUACCCUGGUAGUCCGCACGGUAAACGAUGGAUGCCCGCCGUCGGCAUAUGAUGUCGGCGGCCAAGCGAAAGCGUUAAGCAUCCCACCUGGGGAGUACGCCGGCAACGGUGAAACUCAAAGGAAUUGACGGGGGCCCGCACAAGCGGAGGAACAUGUGGUUUAAUUCGAUGAUACGCGAGGAACCUUACCCGGGCUUGAACUGCAGGAGAACGAUUCAGAGAUGAUGAGGCCCUUCGGGGCUCCUGUGGAGGUGCUGCAUGGUUGUCGUCAGCUCGUGCCGUGAGGUGUCGGCUUAAGUGCCAUAACGAGCGCAACCCCUCUCGCCAGUUGCCAUCGGGUGAUGCCGGGCACUCUGGCGACACUGCCGCCGCAAGGUGUGAGGAAGGUGGGGAUGACGUCAAAUCAGCACGGCCCUUACGUCCGGGGCUACACACGUGUUACAAUGGGGCAUACAGAGAGUUGGCCAUGCGCAAGUAUGGCCGGAUCAAGAAAGUGCCCCUCAGUUCGGACUGGGGUCUGCAACCCGACCCCACGAAGCUGGAUUCGCUAGUAAUCGCGCAUCAGCCGUGGCGCGGUGAAUACGUUCCCGGGCCUUGUACACACCGCCCGUCAAGCCAUGAAAGCCGGGGGCGCCUGAAGUCCGUGACCGCGAGGGUCGGCCUAGGGUGAAACCGGUGAUUGGGGCUAAGUCGUAACAAGGUAAC
rnacentral:rRNA from 1 species